UUUAACACCAUUGUUAUCAUCAGUUUCUUCCAAUUCAAUCGUUCUCUUCAAUAAGGGUUUAUGACUGAAUCUCUACAGUCGCAUAAGGAAUUCGAUAGAUUACGCCAACUGAAAUCAAUUACCCCAUACGUUUCAUUCCUGCAAUUAUUUAACACCGAACCCAUCAUGGAAUUGGGUAGGGUUUUCACCCCUGCCCUAACUCAUCGGCCUUGUUGUUCUGGGAUUCUUUUUCGAUUUAUGGGAUGUUGUUAAUGGGUAUGAACAGGGUUUAGACAUUGCACAAAAUCAAAGAAGAUGUAAUCGGGAGAACCGAAUCCACGACUGGAAGUUUUAAAUCAUUCGAUUUUUUGAUUCCAAACAAAAGUUUUCACUUCUAAUUUACAACAGAUUUCAUGUUUAGGUUUAUUCAUGGCGAUUUUGCAAUUAGGGCUGCAGAUACAAGAGGGAAGCAUACAAUUCUUGGGCUGAAUUGAAGACGCUUAUUUUUUCAACAAGAAACUCGCUAUUUGGAGGGGAAAGCUUGCAUCUAGGUACUCAAGAUUGCAAGCGGCACUCAAGGUGCUAACGGCUCGCAUGUCGCCCAGACGCAAAAACUCCAUGUUACCGUGACAGGUGAUCAAAGGGAUUAAAGAAUAUUAGAUAGGCUUCGGGAUGAAAGCCAAGCAAAAGUUGAUGAGCUUAAAGAAAGAACUAAUUAUUACAUCACUCACCAGCUCAUUCAGCUUGUUUUGCAUAAGUAUGACCCAGAUCCAGCAGCAAAAGCAGUUGUUGCAUCUGUUCUUGCAUCAAAAUUUGGUGCAGAUUCGAGCCUGAAAGUGAUUCUUGGAGAUGAAUUACAAGUGCUCUAAUGUUAGACCCAUAGAUAACCACCCACUGGGAUGUAAAAUAUUACCCCAUUUUGUUAUCUGAAUAUUACCUUUUGUUAUUUUGCAAUACAGUUUUCCAUUGCUGGUAUACACAGGUAUGUAAAUUGGGAGGUAAUGGUCUUAUUAAUUAAUGACACGUGUUUUGAUGUAUGUCAUCUGCUGCUUCGUGUUAUUUCUUUUGUGUGCAAGACCAUUUAUGUAUUGGUGGAUAAUAGACUAUGGCUGCAGGACUUGGUGUCACGGCCUCCACACUUGUGGCAGUUAAUGGUUACCAAGGUUGCAUACAUGUUUAAAACAUCCUAAAUGAUCAAGUUUUUUCUUUGCUACAAUUAAAAUUGUCAUGUUUUCUUCUUGAUUAUGUUUCAGUUACAAAUGUCACCAUUCGACACUGCUAUACGAGUCCAUUUAAAUUCUGUUGUCUGGUUAUUAAUAUCGUUCUCAGCUAUAUCGCACCUGAUUUGUUUCACCGAGAACUCCACAUGUUCAGCGUUGAUACCCAAUCUCACUGGUCCCUCAUGUUUUGAAUAGUCUGCUGCACUAGCAAAUUAUGAAGCUGACCCAUUUGCUCCUUUUCAUGUACUGUUGAGUGUCAGUGAUAUUGCUCUCCAUUUCAAGUCCAAAUUUUACUUUUACAUUUACUAAUACUAAUUACUAAAGUACACAGAAUAGCUACAAUAAUGUUUGAUUUCAAAACACAUAAAAACUAGGGGUGUGAAUUUCUAACACGGCCCGAAAACCCAACACGAAUCUAACACGGAAUUCGCGGGUUUAGGUUUAGUCUAAACGGGUUCGGGUCAGUUUCAGCGAACCCGUUUAGGUAAACGGGUCAGGUUCGGGUCAACCUGGUCGGGUUGGCGGGUUGACCCGUUUAACA